CUAUAAAACAAGCCUAAACUUCCAAAACUGGAAUCAAGUGCGGGGGAUAACAAUAUUUGAGGUGAAUCUUUUUAUUAAAAAGUAGGACAAUCCCUCUCCGAACCUGUCAACUAACCUCGUAGGCUAAUUAGGGAGGAUAU
rnacentral:sRNA from 2 species